ensembl:lncRNA
UAGGAAUGAAUGCAUCAAUAAUUAUAAUCCAGUGAUAUAAUCACUAUUAUUCUGCAUGAAAAGUGCUUUUUAUUUUAGUUCUGUGAAGCUGCUACUUUGACACAUGAUUAAAAACAUGUUCUAUAAUCAAAACAAAAGCAAUGAAAACUCUCCAAAAGGUCUGUUUAGUGGCGGCUCUGGUGCUUUUGCUUAUGAAUAAUUAAACUGUAUUUAUUCAUAACGCAGCUUUAAAGAAUUCAAAUGAUCGUCAUAUAUUUUACAAGAAUCGAUGCAGUGUUUCACAUGUUUACGUUUUUUUUGUUCUUUUUAUUCUGUUUACUUGGUUUUAAGGUCAAGAACCAACUCGUGAACCACAUUUAAUUAAACUGAGUUUAUCAACAUGCUGUUUAUUACUUUUUGUCACUUAUCACUGUUAAUAACAUUUUGAACAGAUCUCAAGGCAGAAUCCUGCACUUUUUAUUGUAAAUACAUUGUUCAUAUAUUUCUGUGAGCUCUUUUUAAGUUGCUUGUUUUUCCCUCCACGUUAAAUCCCGUCCGAGUUCAUUUUCCAGCUGCAGUUUCCAUCCGGGGGGAAAUAUCGGCGUCCUCACCUGCUGAUGUCUUCAUGCGGGUGAUGUUACAGUCUCACAGCGACAGGAGCAGCAGAAGAAGAAAUAUGUUUACUGCACUUUAGCGGAGGUAGAAGAAGUUGAUCGAUUCUCGGGUGAGAAGUUAUCUCAGGAAAGAACCAACGAGAUUACCUUCAGAACACCUGCAAGGUGUGGAAGUAAACUGGAAAACCGUAGCUGAUCUGGGAUCAGUCCAUCAACCGGUUUCCUUCUGCUUCGGUUUCACAGCCGAAUACAGAGAACAAAAAGUCAAAAUAAGUUCAUUGAACUCAUAAUCACCAUAAAUGUGAUCUCCUCUGAAGCAGGAGACAACACCUGGUGAACCGCGGCGCCGGGGGAGAGCGCCGGGCUCUCCGGCAACGCCUGUGUGUCCUGGGGGAGGCCGAACAAGAGUCGACAAGGACACCCAACACUCAAGUGUCUUGUGGACGACUGGGUGUCAGUCUGAUAGUUGUGAACAUCUGGGAAUCUGCUGACGUCUAUAUGGAGACACCUGCUUAUCAAUUGGACACCUGGACUGGCUGGACAUCCCUCCACCUUUGGUAAUCCGGGGGAACGUAACGAGUCUUCCUUUCUCUCCCAGUCUUCAUCAUCAAGCACCAAGAGUUUGCAUCGUUACAAUCUUCCUCCUCGGCGGCGGCGAGCACUCCCACCGGGGCUUCUGGGUAGCCAUCGGCGAGGGGGGGUCAACGAGGCAAACGGAGCGGUGGUGGAGCAGUCCGGUUCGGUCGGGUCUGACCCGGAUCAAAGAGAGGGAAGCUGUUCCCUGAUGGUUCACCUGCUUUAACCGGUGUUGGUGUGAUCUGAACCAAAGAGAAGAAAAGGAGCCGCUUUAUUAUUCAGAAGCUAAAUUAAUGCGCUGUGAGAGCGGAGCUGCAGCGCUGCGAGCUGAGGGUCAAAUACAUGCAAAUAUUAGCAUGUUGGGAUGCUCUUUAAACACUCCACCGUGCACGUGUGUGUGUGUGUUACGUAACGGGUGUGUUUGGAUUUAAUUAGCUCCCUACUUACAGUCUGAUAUUGGCUAAUGAAGCAGCAGAGUGUCCGUCGGUGAUGAAUGGGAGGCGUCAUCUUAAAACAUGAUAAAUCGGACUCGGCCCCUCUGGACAUCAAAAAACACGAAGCCGCCGGAGUGUGGGAUCAUGGGUAAAUGAGACCUGCAUGUUCCCCUCAGCGGGAAGGCGG